CUGUGAGGGUGUCAUUGGAUGCCCUGGAUGCCACGUUUUCAAGGUACGAAGAAGACAAACAGGGCAUAGCAUCUAUUUUCCAUAAGACCGUUCAAAGAUGUCAUGAAGCAUUUAGUAUCCCCCACAUACGUCUCCCCCUCAGCUGCAUGUCCAUGACACAGUUAGCCUGGAUGGCUUUGUCAGUACCCUUCCUGGACCUGCCUCUGAUAAGGGCUGCCUGGAGGUGUUCUCAGUCGACUGUGAAAUGUGCUAUACCACUCAUGGUCUGGAGCUGGCUAGAGUGACCUUUGUCAACUCCAGUUUGCAGGUUUUCAGGCAUCAGUGAAGUUAAUGUGAAAGGAACAAGCUCGUCCAUACGAGAUGUUCAGGAGACUCUUCUGAGCUUUGUCAGUGCAGAGACUAUACUGAUUGGCCAACGCUUAGAAAUUGACCUCUGUGCACUUAAGUCCAGGACAAGGCCUAAUCUCAGCCUCAUAAAUAAAACGACGCUCCACAACCUGACAGCAGACUACCCGAUGAGGAUCAUCCAGGAGAGUGGAGGGUCAAACAAACAAGUCUCUGGCAAUGGGAAUAAUACCCAUCACCUGUGUGUCAUUACAUUUUUAAACAGUCAAACUGAUCAUGGUGUAAGCAGGGAAAGAUGUUGCAUGAAUCUUUUAAUGAAGUGUUUCACAAUCCCAACUCUGUCCAUUUACUGCUUACAGUUAAAUGUGUUCUUAGAACACUAGUAAAAGCAGUCGAGACAAUCUGAGAAUUUAUCAUAUUUUGUGUUUUGUAGUAGGCAAAAGUCCUAAACAUGUAUCCACUCAUUUGAGAAUCAUUCCUAAUCCAAGGUUUUCAAAUUUUGUGUGUGUGCGCUGUAGGUUAAUAGUAACUGUGUGUAUGGUAUUGUUCCACUCCCUUCCAGUGGGUGGCCAUGACUCUGCAGAAGAUGCUGCUGCCUGUAUGGAGCUCAUGUAACGAGUACGCUAGGAGUCGGGAAGCAAGUACAGGGAGGGAAUUUAAUAAUAAAUGGAGCAAAACAAGAAACACGAGUACCGUACAGACAUAAAACACAGAAACAGAAUCAAUAACGCCUGGGGAAAGAACCAAAGGGAGUGACAGAUAUAGGGGAGGUAAUCAGGAAGGGGAUGGAGUCCAGGUGAGUCUCAUGAGGCGCAGGUACGCGUAACGAUGGUGGCAGGUGUGCGUAAUAAUGAAUAAACUGGCAACACCGAGUGCCAGAGAGAAGGAGCGGGAGUAGACGUGACAGCUCAUGUUGUGGAAGGUCAAAGAUGGUAAAACUAAACGAUGGUGAUCUGAAUAAAACUGGCAUCGCCCACCUACGUUUUUCAUGAAAUCACAAAUAUUCAUGUUCAAAUGUCACUUAUUUGUAUAAAGGUGAAGUGUUAUUUGUUGGGUCUUUUCUUCGAAUGGCGUGGGUAGGCUUGGAGAGGGAUUGAAAUUAUAAUUUUUAUGUCAAUUGGUGGAAUUCAUUUUUGUUUAACCAUGUUAUGAUCCUCUCACAGUCUCUCUUGUCAAUGUGAAAUUAUUUGGGGAUGCACUCUGAACAUUGGGAAAUAAGAAUAUAUUGAAUGUAAAAGAAAAUAAAUCUGUUAUGGGGUUUUAUUAACAAUAAAUAACCUUGUUAUUGUU